rnacentral:rRNA from 1 species
GAUGAACGCUGGCGGCGUGCCUAAUACAUGCAAGUCGAGCGAAGCGAGGACGGGUGAGUAACACGUGGAUAACCUCCUAUCAGAAUAGGAUCACUUCGGGAAACCAGAGCUAAACAGGAUCCUUAUAGCUGGAUCCGCGCUGCAGUAGCUAGUUGGUAACGUAACGGCUUACAAAGGCAACGAUGCAUAGACGACCGGAGAGGGUGAUAGGCCCCACUGGAAGUGAGACACGCUCCAGACUAGUACGGGAGGCAGCAGUAGGGAAUCUUCCGCAAUGGGCGAAAGCCUGACGGAGCAACGCCGCGUGAGUGAUGAAGGUCUUCGGAUUGUAAAUCUCUGUUAUUAGUGAAGCGGUACCUAAUCAGAAAGCCACGGCUAACUCCGUGCCAGCAGCCGCGGUAAUUC